CCAGGCCCUAUUCUCCUGCCUCAAAAUGACAACAGAUUUUGAAGAGUAACAAAAUAUGAAAGAAGUUAUCAGCACAAUUAAAACGACAAAUAAGCCAAUUGGCUAGAGAAGAAUUCUGCCUAGACAUGGAGGAUCAAGUUGAUGAUGACCCACAUCACGAGAAGAACA
rnacentral:lncRNA from 1 species